CAUAGCGACUAUCGUGGCAUAUCAAUAAGCGGAGGAAAAGAAACUAACAAGGAUUCCCCUCAGUAACGGCGAGUGAAGCGGGAAGAGCUCAAAUUUGAAAUCUUCAAGGGUUUACCUUUACGAAUUGUAGUUUAAAGAAGUGUUUUCUGUUGGUAGUUUCGGUAAAAGUUCUUUGGAAUAGGACAUCAUAGAGGAGUGAGAAUCCCGUAUUUGACCAGUUACUUUCCAGCUGUGUGAUACACUUUCAAAGAGUCGGAUUGUUUGGGAAUGCAGUCCAAAAUGGGUGGUAAAUUUCAUCUAAAGCUAAAUAUUGGCGAGAGACCGAUAGCGAACAAGUACCGUGAGGGAAAGAUGAAAAGAACUUUGAAAAGAGAGUUAAACAGUACGUGAAAUUGUCAAAAGGGAAGCGUUUGACACCAGUGUUGUUUAGUUGAAAAUCAAUUCAAUAACUUUUUGAUUUUGAGUAGUAUUGACUUCAUCAGCUUGCUGCUUUCUUUUCAGGAAAUUAUUGAAUGCACUUUUCAGUUAACAAGUCAACAUCAAUUUCUUUUGUUGUAAAAGGGUAAGAGGAAGGUGGCUUACGCUUCGGCGUAAGUGUUUAUAGCCUUUUACCUCUGCAAUCGGAGAGAUUGAGGACAGCAGCGUAGACUCUUCGGGGUUAGAUACACUUGUGCUAAGCUAUAGCCUUGUAUAGACAACUUGUUGACUAUGCUCAGUCAUGUAGCUUACUCGCUUGUGCUAUUUUACCUACGCUUAGGAUGUUGAUAUGCAUGACUGAUAU
rnacentral:rRNA from 1 species